CUUCAAAUUGAAUCAAAACUCAAUUUAUAUGUCAGCCUCACGACUAUGACGUCUUUUUCUUUUCUUUUCUUUUUUUUUGAGAAAUAUGUAGCACGCUACCCGCUUCGUUUAUUUCAUUUAAAAAAAAAUUUAGCUGGAAAUGUGAAUCAACAAGGAUUCGAACUUGGGAUCUCGAAUACCAACCAUAAAGCCCUUUGCCACUUGCUCUAGGAACGAUCGGUGCCUCAUGACUAUCUCAAAUGGUCAUUAUUAUUACCACUUACUAAGUCUCCUUUCGGAAUUGAGGGUAAAAUAAUAUCCAUGCAAUGGGAAAGUGCAACGACAAAAUAUUUCAUUAGUUUUCGUAAAUUAAAACAUGUAACACCAAUCACAUUAGUUUUGUUAAGAUAUAAUUAUACGGUGAAUUACACUUUUGGUCUUCAUACUAUGAUUCUCAUACUUUAAUUUAUUAUAAUUUUUUGUUCAAACUUCUGAGUUAUUACAAUUAAGUUCUACAAUCAAAUUUAGUUGGAUGGAUGUCUCGCUAAUGUGAAAUUGAUGUAGCAGUAUUGUGAUCGGUAAUAUAAUAAUAAUUAAAAUACUACAUCACUUCUAUAUCAGUGAUUUAUCAAUAUUUAAUAAAAUAAAUUAGGUUGUACGACUUAAUUAUAAUUUAUAAAAUUAUAAUUUAUAAAAUUCGAGUAAAAAAUUACAAUAAAUUAAAAUU
rnacentral:lncRNA from 1 species